ACUAGGGGUGUCUAAAUGCAGUGUAGGCAUACUCUUAGUCUCCCAAAAUGUUCCAAUGGCAGCAAUAUCUGCUCAUCAGUUAUACUGUGGAUACAACCAUCUUCUCUCACCCUUCAGUCUCCAGGUUGCUUUUGGGCAUGGUGAAUACAUUUUCCUCUAAUAGGGAGUUGUUGCCUUCAUGAGACUUAAAUUUUGUCCUAAUGAAGCUGAUGGGCCCUUCUUAUAAGACACUUUCACAAGUUUCUCUUGAACAUUUAUUGAUCAAAAUUGUCUUCCUGAUAGCAAUUAUAUCUGCUAGGAGGGUGAGUUUAGUGCUUUGAUGGCCACACCACCUUAUACUGUAGUCCACAAGGAUGACAUGAGCAUGAGGCCUUGUAUGAGCUUCGUACCUUCGGUGGUCCCAGAUUGCCACCUGUAUUUCCCUCUCUGAUCUUCCCUUAACCACAUUCAUGCCUAGGGAAACUUAUCUCUAUACCCUAGAGGUAGAGAAGGUGCUGUUUUUUACCUGCAUGAAAACAAGCCCUUUAGAAAAUCCAGUAUGUUGUUUGUAGCAGAUGGGGAGAUAUGCCAGGAAGAACCUAAUACAGAGCAGACUCUCUUAGAGGAUUAGGAGAUGUAUAGAACAAUGUUACAGUUUAGAUAGGAAAUCACUAUCUCCUAGUUUAAAGACUCAUCCCAUGAGAACCUCUGAAGUUUCAGCAGUAUACCCAAGGCAGGUUCCCCUGGUGGAGAUAUGCAAAGCAGCAUCUUGGAGUUUGGUGCAUGCUUUCACCAGACAUUACUCACUGAAUUUAUUAUUGUGCUCCAUUUAGUCUAGUUUGGGAGAGUCAUGCUACUAUCUAUAUUUGACUAAGAACUCAUCUACCAUCCUCCUGGUGGGGCACUGCUUGCUAAUCUCCCACAAGUGUGAUGCACAGAGGUCCUCACAGAAGAGAGGUUACUUACGAGCAACUAUUGUUCUUUGAGAGUUGCCUCUAUGCAUUCACACUACUGCCCACUUUUCCCUCUUCCAUAUAUCAGGCUCUGUAGUUGCAGAGACUGACUGUUCCUGCUCUCCCCCUCCAGACACAACUUUUCAAGGCAGAUCCACAGCAUGAUGCCAGGGUGCCAUAUCCCACAAUUGUGACUACCCAAAGGCGACUCUUGAAUAACAGUCACCUCUCUUUAGUACCUCAAUAGGUAGAGCAAUGAACAUGUAAAUAUAACCACAAUCACAAAAGUUUUCUCCAAACUCUGAAAGAAGGAGGGUGUGUGUGAAUGAGUGAGAACCCUAUAAGAGAUCAGCGACCGAGAAUUUCAGGAAAGCAAAUCCUCUUCUCUGAAGAUACCAUCUUCCUUCUGAAGAGUACCCUGUUUGAAGGAUGUUGCAAAACAAAAUGAGCAACUAACUGAAACCGUAACUGCCAAAGAGCAAAGCCAACAAAAAUGUUUUUUGUGGGGUUUUAUUGAAUAUAAGUGUGUGGUAAAACCUCCCAGGUCUGAAUAGGUAGGUGAAGAAGCUUGUGCAUCCCUGUUGAAAACCACUUUUGCAGAACUGGAAGUAAGAUUCCUUCCUAGAGGCAAAAUCAAAGCCACAGUGCUUUCUAAAUGUAUGGAGCAAGAGCUAUGUGGCUGCCUUCCUUAUGUCUAUAAUGGAAGCAUCCCUGAGACAUGCAUCUGAUGAGGCCGCUCAAAGCACCAAGAGGUGCUAAACAAAAGGUCUGGGGCGCAGAGUCCAAGGUCACCAAAGCCUGGACAGUGAUGCCCCUUCGGUGCUCCUCAGCAGUCAUAUGCCAAAGAGCCACAUGGUUACUAAAAUAAUAGAAGACUGGCUCUAACAGGCAGGGGCCAUCAAAAAGAUGCAAAGGGAGACCAGAUGAUUCUCUAGAGAAAGCUUUUCACUCACAAUAGCCAAGAAGUACCUGAUGGGAAGGUUUCAAGGGUGGUGAUUAAGGUCUGGUGCCGCAUGUGACCACAAAGCAGCGGGCCUACUGCUGCCCUUAAUAUGCCAAACUUAUGGUGACCAGGUAGCAAGUGUAAAAAAAUCAGGAUGGAGGUGGGGGGAAUAGGUGCCUAUAUAAGAAAAAGCCCCCAAAAUUGGAACUGUCCCUGUAAAAUCAGGACAUCUGGUCACCCUAUUCAAACUCCUUUAGAGUUAGGCAGGCAGAAUCCCUCUUCCCCCCAUCUUAUAGUCAAGAGCACAGACCCUGUGCAGUUGGGACCUUUGGAGAGAGGUCUUUCUCUUCCAACUUCUCCAUGUCACAAACAAUGACUUUCCCCAUCUUUCUUACAUAACACAAGUCAGCAAAGCUCUUGUUCUAUUGACUUUCCUAUUUGUUUUGUAUCAGUGCUGUUGCUGUUAGGUUAUAUCAGUGCAUAGGAGUAGCUAAUGUCUGCUGAUUAACAGAAGGGCACAGAGUUUUCACACUCUUAAACAAAAACUGUCUCAAAAUUUAGACAAACCAACCAUCUGUUUAUGUAAGUAUUUGCACUGUGGAUGGCACUCAGUCAGGCCCCAAAUAUGACCUGUAUUCAUAUUGAAAGGAGCACAAGUAGACAAAAAUGUAUGAUGCAAUUUGCUCGUCUCACUUCUUCUACAAUGAGUAUGUAUUAACUUCAGAGCUCUGCAACUGUUUUGAGUCCCCAGAGGUCAAGAGAAGUAAAUUCCAAGGCUAUAUGUAAGUUCAGUUUAUUCUGCAAAGUACCACAGUGAAAUCACAAUUAGUCUUCGAUAGCAACUUAGGAUACGUCCACACUACCCGCCGGAUCGCCAGGUUGCGAUCUAUCUAUCGGGGAUCGAUUUAUCGCGUCUCAUCUAGACGCGAUAAAUCGAUCCCUGAACGCACUCCCCGUCAACUCCGGAACUCCAUCCGGGUGAGAGGCGGAAGGCGCGGCCGUCGAUCUAAGAUAAGUCGACUUCAGCUACGCUAUUCUCGUAGCUGAAGUUGCGUAGCUUAGAUCAAUCCCCCCCUCCAGUGUAGACCAGGCCUUAGUAUAGAGAAGAAGUUUCCCCCAGUGCUACCUCUAAUUAUUUUAAUGAAUGUAUUAUUUUAUAAUUAAUUCAGAAAUGUCUGGGAGCUUCACAAUGGCCUCACCAUGAGGAUACAGUUUAGUCACCAAACAAUCUAGAACACUUGCUGUAGAAUGUUCUGCAAUAUGUCAGCUUGGCUUUUAUCUCUAGAAGCAGCAUGAUCAUGCUAGUUUCCUCCAAUCUCAGGUGUACAUCCAGUGAAUAACAUGAAACCAACGGGGCUGACAGCGUUCACUGCCUUGUAUCAUCUGAAUCUAAAUGAGGAACAGGAGUAAAAAAAUAGCUUUCAGCUUCAGGCUUAUCCAGUCUCAACUGUAUAAAGAAUGAAGCUCUGAAGUCCCUCUCAAACUGUCAAGUCAAACUGUCAAAUGAAAUGUAGAGAACAGCAUCAACCUGAAAUCAAUAUUGUCUUCACUCUUGUGAGUAUUUUGAUGUUACUACAAUUCCUACUUUUGAACUUGUCACCUAUUCAAUUCAUAUAUAUGUACAUGAACAAUGUAAAUGGGCAGAUUUAAAUAAUUUUUCCACAUGCAGACAACUACAAAUUUUAUUAAAGUGGGACAGUGACACUACACUUACUAGGCCAUCAUAUAUAAUUGAUACAGUGGGAAAAAAAUCAUCUCUGGCUACUAACUAAGUCAACUGCAAGUGCUGUGUUGCCAGAGUGGCAUAUUCAGUAUAGCAAGUAUAUAGCUGUGCAAUAUAACUUCUUUAAGGUAUCUGAAGACAGAUUUUGUGCCAUAGUAUCCAACCCUGGGCUGGGAAAAAGACAACCACUUGCAGGGGUGAGAACUCGUAACUCAGUCUGCAUAGUUGUUGGAGCACAGCAGUGAUGACUAGUCAGUAACACGUUUACUGGUGAAAUGGAGCUGGGCUGAGCUCACCCACACAGCUCACUGUUGUCUGAUUUUUUUUUUGGCACAACUUUUGUAAAUUCAAUUCAGAUGAAUUUUAUAGAGAAGAAUCUUAAUGCAUCCAUGUUUCCUACCAAGUCUGGCCUCUGAUAACGUUCAUUUGCAGAGAUUAGAUAGGGCCAAUCAUAACUCUGGGAAACAUCCAAAAGAUUAAAUACACUUUAUGAUGAGGAAGUGGGUUUUAGAUAAAAUAUUUGCUCCAGAAAAUUUAGUCUUGGGGACAAAAGGUGCUACAAGAAAACAACCAUUAAAAUGAAGUGGAAAAGAUUUCAGUGAUUUCCAAACUAGCAGGUGAGCUUUAAUGAAGUAUUUUUUGCAUAGAGAGAGAGAGAGAGAGUGUGUGUGUGUGUUUUUAAAAGAAAUAUCUACAGCUCAGCUAAUGCACCUCAAUACAGACCUGGCUGCUCCUGAGCAGUGACCCACUCAGAUUGAAAUGGGGGACAUAAUACAUGAUGUAUAGACUAGGAUUACACACACACACAAACAAUACCAUACUUGUUUUUGGUAGUGCAUUUGUACCACUCUGUUCUUUAAAUAAUUACUCCCGGGUUAAAACGUGUUAGACAAGUAUACAAAGUCAUAUCUACACAUAAAAAUGCUGCAUUUGCCUACCAUGAUGACAGAGACCCCAGCGGUUGUAUUGUUCUGCUUGGGUAGCAUGUUGUUAAAGUGCUGCUUCAGUUUACCUGUUACUUCAGCUUGCAUAUUAUUCUCCUGCAAGGCAUCAUCCUGUGUAAACACAAUACACACACACACUACUCCUCAGGUUUGGGAUUAAAAAAAAGAAAGUGUUUGGAAAUAGAAAAAUUACAAAUAAAAUCGACAGAAGUGAUUUUCCUUCAUCCUGGGAUAAUUGCUGGGCUGCAUAGAGAGAGUGUCAACCUUUUUUCUUUUUAAAGUCUUCUGCUGCUGAGAAACAGUUUACAUUGAGCUCAAGUGAGCUGCAUAUGGCAGCAGAAACGUUGGCUUAAAAUGUGGUAUUUUGUUUUUCAGGUUAAGGGAGGACACUAUAUUACGAGUGUGCCAUGACCUGCUAACAACUCCUGGCAUUAAAUGUAACAUGUAUGUUUUUACACAACAGCAACAGCCAUUAAAAUGCUGAUGACCGAAGAGUAUUUAAAUAAAGCCUAAUGAUGAUCUUUAAUUUCCA